ensembl:lncRNA
UUUUUUUUUUUUUUUGCAUUGAAAUCAAAGCCACAAAUAAAGCAAUAAAAAGAUCUGAAGGUAAGAAUAUUGUUACCUUGGCUUUAACUAUAAUUGUUCAAUACAUAUUUGUAUGUCUAUUCUUGCAAUAAAAAUACCAAUAUUGUUUAAAAGCAACAGUAAAUUUUAAAAAAUCCUUUUGCAUAUAGAACAGACUUUUAAUCAUAUGAAACUUGUUACAUUAUUAAAGUAAUUUAAGGAUGCCUGCCUCAUAAUGUUACUCUGUUAAGCUAAUGUUAAUUGAUUUAAGGGAACCAUUUUGGCAUAGACAAAGGAUGAUUUCCUUGAGUAUCAUUCUCUUCUACAGAAAACUGCCAUCAAUUGACCAAUAUUUGAAAAGCACUUAUGUUAAAAUAUAUCUAGAAAGCUCUAUGUAUUAUUCAGAUUAGUUUGUAUGUUUAGAAAGCCCCAAUUAAUCCCAUUGAAUAUAUUUUUCAAUUACUUAAAUACUUUUCAAUUACUUCAGUAAAAAGAACUCACAGAUGAGUUUGAAGCUAUGCAGGUCUUAAUGGCUCAGACUUUGAUGUCCAUGAGCAAACACUAGAAACACUGUGCAUUGUGAUCAUGAACACAAUACAGUUUUUCCACAGCAGAAUUCACGUUCUAGAAAUCUUUCUUUAUUACUGUGCUCACAAUGGACUGGGUAUAACAAAAUGUAUCCUAUGCUAUCUAUGACUUUGCAUUAGCUAUUUCAUGAAGAAUAAAUAGAGAAGGCAUUUCUGCAAAGGCUUAAAAAAUAAAAUCUCAUGUAACUGUUAUUAAAUAGCAGUAAUAAAUUUCAUUAAUAAUUCUUUAAUUCUGUGGGAAACUGUUUUCCUGUAUCAAAUUCACAGUCUGGAACAGGUCACAGUGCACUUUUUUGCCAUUAGCAUCUCCUAUACAUACACCUGUGUUUAGUUUUAUAUGCUCACAACCCAGCUGUACAUUGGCUCUUUGUGCAAUACUGCUUUCUCACUUUUCUCCCCUCCCCACAUCCAGUUUUCCAGUUUCUGUUUAUAUUGCAGAGGUUUUUACCAUUAGGCACAUUUUCCCACAGAAUCGUUUCUGAUGAAAACAGCAAGUAUAAUAGUACACCAUACUGGUAAACAAUUUCUUACCACUCUAUAUGCAAAGUGGAUGUCCAUCACAGAAAAAAAGGUUUACUUUUCUUUGCCAAAAUAAAACUUUUUUUAUAUGUCACCAGUCUUUUAAAGAUCUAUACAUUGAAAAAAGAAAUGUAAACUUUCUAAAAAUGUGAACAUUUUUAAUAGAGAGCUUCCAACUAUUCAGAGAUUACUCCAACCUUAAAAAACUGUGUUUAGUCAUGCACGAUUCUUUAUCCCAAAGUAAUACUUAAAAUCUCAAUAUUGAAAAACAGUAGCUCAGACAUACCUUAGAAGUCAGUAACUAGUUACAUACUUUAAAUUCUGAGAAUAUCAAGUUCUUGGACAUUUUUGUGUCUCUUGUAUCAAAAUAGAUGUACGUACACCAGGUAAUACAGGCUCGCUACCAACUCAGAAGAGAAUCUCAAUACGUAGAAGUAAUUUCAGAAAUAUUUCUGUUUAAAAAUAGAUUAUACAUGCAAUAUAUCUGUUCUAACUUAAAUGAGACUGUAUAAAAUAUUUGGCAAAAUAAUUAUUCUUCAGCCUUAUUCUAAAUCCAGUGUAAAGCUGCUCAAAUUGGAAUAACCUUACAUUUAAUUGUAAAUUUCCUCAUUAUUGUUCUGCUUCAUAGUACAUGGGGAUUAGGUACACUCAGGGGCAGAGAGACUGCUCAAAAUACUUAAAUCAGCAAAGCUUUGAUUUCCAUGUGCAGAACUGCAACUGUUGGAAACUAAACUAUAAAAAAAA